rnacentral:lncRNA from 1 species
AAGUAGAGUAGUAGUACUACAUGGAGAAGGUGAUAGAUACGUAAGAGUAUUUCAUAUGUGAGGUGAGGUCGAUGGUGUCUGUCUUCGUUGAUUGGUACGCCCAGAUUAUUAUUAUGCAUUACACUCGGCAUUAUCCUCGGAAGAUGAAUGAUGAUACAAAAAUACGUACUCCACUAUAUUUAAGCGGGGAGGUGGAGUAUCUGAG